UACGAGUGCCCCGAGCGUUAUCCGGAAUUAUUGGGCGUAAAGGGUGUGUAGGCGGUUGUGUUAGUCUUUUGUUAAAGCUCCCGGCUUAACCGGGAAGAUGCAAAAGAAACGGCACAACUAGAGGGUGCGAGAGGUGAACAGAACUCAUAGUGUAGGGGUGAAAUCCGUUGAUAUUAUGGGGAAUACCAAAAGCGAAGGCAGUUCACUGGCGCAUUCCUGACGCUGAGACACGAAAGCGUGGGUAGCGAAUGGG
rnacentral:rRNA from 1 species